GGGCGAGUGGCGGAACUGGCAUACGCGUACGGUUUAGGACCGUAUCCCGCAAGGGUUGAGGGUUCAACUCCCUCCUCGCCCACCA
rnacentral:tRNA from 3 species